UACGAAGGGUGCAAACGUUGCUCGGAAUUAUUGGGCGUAAAGCGCACGUAGGCGGCUUAGUAAGUUGGAUGUGAAAUCCCUCGGCUUAACCAAGGAAGUGCAUCCAAAACUACUGAGCUUGAGUACUAAAGAGGAUCGCGGAAUUCCGGUGUAGAGGUGAAAUUCGUAGAUAUCAGGAGGAACACCAGUGGCGAAGGCGGCGAUCUGGGUAGAUACUGACGCUGAGGUGACGAAGCGUGGGGAGCAAACAGG
rnacentral:rRNA from 1 species